UGCUCUAUCCAUUUGGAGUAACCCUAUCUAUAGGUGCGUCAUCAGCAAUGAAGGGGUUCUAAGCUGUAGAGACAAUGUGAAAAUCCUGCAAGCCUAAUGUGGGUGAUUGC
rfam:Alkaliphilus metalliredigens QYMF, complete genome.